ACCCCACGAGAAGGAAUACUAUGCUCUAGUGAGAAGUCCACACGAGGUGAUGCUGCAUCUGUUACGUUCUCCUCUAGAGAGGACUCGUAUCUCUCUACAAUGGAUGUGUCUACGCGGCUUCUGCUCCACCAAGCCUCAAGCACUUCAGGGCGAGGACCCCACACAGACCCGCCUGAACCCCCUUAACAUCCAGAUGCUGUCAAAAGGUCUUCAUGAGCAGAUCUUUCGAGGGCUGGAGCCAGAAUACAGGGAGGAGGCUGUAGAACGCAGCAUAAGGCACUUGCAGAAACACCAGCUGUGGGGGAAGGAAGCUUCACUGUUGCCCGACGUCAACCUGAAACUCCCCAAGAUGUAUGGCAAAAACAUUGAUGAGCACUUUCGUAUCUUGGCCAAGACGCAGAACCUUCCCUACCUUGUGGCUGCCACCCAGCUGCAGCUGGCUGAGUUACCACCCAUGCCUCAGGAAUGGAGCUGGGAGGUUGGCUGGACACGCUAUGGGGCCAAUGGGGAGAGUCAGAAAGUAGAUUUUCCAGAGGAGUCAGCUCUUGUGUUUGAUGUGGAGGUGUGCACAACAGAGGGACAGUGUCCCACACUGGCUGUUGCUGUUUCUCCAACCAACUGGUACUCGUGGUGCAGCAAGCGUCUGAUUGAAGAGCGAUACUCCUGGUCAAACCAGCUGACCCUUGCUGAUCUCAUUCCGCUAGAGACACCUUUCAACUCUGCCCGCCCUUCAGGGGGCCAAUGGAAGGAGAGGCUCAUCGUGGGCCACAAUGUCAGCUUUGACCGGGCUCAUAUUAAGGAGCAGUAUCUACUAAAGGGUUCAAAGGUACGCUUCAUGGACACAAUGAGCCUUCACAUGGCCAUUUCGGGGCUGACCGGCUUCCAGCGUACACUGUGGAUGGCCAGUAAGCUGGGUAAAAAGAGGGGUCUUCAGGAGGUCAAGGAACACAUUAAGAAAGCUGGAAAGAAACGUGAGGGCCCAAUGAUUGGCUCCUGGGACUGGGUGAAUAUUAGCAGUAUUAACAAUCUGGCUGACGUUCAUGCUCUGUAUGUGGGAGGGCCACCGCUGCAGAAAGAAGCCAGAGAGACCUUUGUGAAGGGGAGCAUGACGGAUGUCAGGAACAAUUUCCAGGAGUUAAUGCAGUACUGUGCACUUGACGUGAAGGCCACACACGAGGUCUUCACAGAACAACUACCCCUCUUCAUGGAGAGGUGCCCUCAUCCAGUGACGCUUGCAGGGAUGCUGGAGAUGGGUGUGAGCUACCUUCCCAUCAAUCAGCACUGGGGGCGAUACCUGGAAGAUUCUCAGGACAUUUAUGAAGAGCUCCAAAGAGAGAUGAAGAAGUCUCUGAUGACUCUAGCAGAUGAUGCCUGUCAGCUCCUGGAGAAUGACAAAUACAAAGAAGACCCCUGGCUUUGGGAUCUUGAAUGGGAUGUGCAGGAAUUCAAGCAAAAAAAAGUUGCAACCAGCAAGAAGAAAGACUCAAAAAAAUCAGAUAACACAAAAAAUGCCACUCCUAUUCCAGACUGGGAGGAAGACCCAGGUCCACCAUCUGAAGAAGAGAUGGAAGCCCCUUGCCCCAGCAGGCUGGCUGUUGAGAAACUGAAAGAAACAGUAACUCGACUUCCUAAGAAAAGGCAGCAUCUGCCCGCCCAUCCAGGGUGGUAUCGUAAGCUGUGUGAAAAGAUCUCUGAAGGCAGCUGGUCACCUGGACCCAGUCUGAUCAGCCUGCAGAUGAGACUGACACCUAAACUGAUGCGUCUGACUUGGGAUGGUUUCCCCUUGCAUUACACAGAGAAACAUGGGUGGGGCUAUCUGGUACCCGGACGCAGGGACAGCCUUGAUUCUCAGGAGGAAAACACAGGUCCUGUGUGCCCCCACAGAGCUAUUGAAAGUGUGUACAGAGAGCAUUGUGAACAGAAAAGCAAGGAGCAGCCCGAGUAUUUGGACUCCAUCCCUUCAGAUGACCUCAUGUUGACAGACAGCACGGUGUGGACAAAGGUAGAGGAGUUGAGUUCCCUGGAAAGUCUGACUGAGGAAAACAGCCUCAGAAUGACAAAAAAAGCAGAGACCAAAAACAGGUCCACAGAUCCACAUUAUGUCAGAGAGGGGAGUGACUGCCAAUAUCACCAUGGAAAUGGCCCCUACAAUGAUGUCAAUAUACCAGGUUGCUGGUUUUUCAAAUUACCUCAUAAGGAUGGUAACCACAACAACGUCGGCAGUCCUUUUUCAAAGGACUUCCUGGCGAAGAUGGAGGAUGGCACUCUCAGAGCAGGAAGAGGUGGCACCAAUGCAACACGGGCUCUGGAGAUCAACAAAAUGAUGUCUUUCUGGAGGAAUGCUCAUAAACGUAUAAGUUCUCAGAUGGUACUGUGGCUCAGAAAGGGGGAGCUUCCCCGCUCUGUCAGCAGACACAAAGAUUUUGAUGAAGAGGGCCAGUAUGGUGCCAUAUUACCUCAGGUCAUCACUGCUGGAACAGUAACACGUAGAGCUGUGGAGCCAACGUGGUUGACUGCCAGCAAUGCACGGCGAGAUCGGGUAGGCAGUGAGCUAAAGGCCAUGGUGCAGGUACCACCUGGAUAUCACCUGAUAGGAGCAGAUGUAGAUUCUCAAGAGUUAUGGAUUGCCGCAGUGCUAGGAGAGGCUCACUUUGCAGGCAUGCAUGGUUGCACAGCGUUUGGCUGGAUGACCCUUCAAGGAAAGAAAAGUCAAGGCACUGACCUGCACAGCCGUACUGCUGAUGCUGUGGGCAUCAGCCGAGAACACGCAAAGGUGUUCAAUUAUGGGCGCAUAUAUGGUGCAGGGCAGCCCUUUGCUGAGAGGUUGCUGAUGCAGUUCAACCACCGCCUCAGUCAGACAGAAGCUAGCAGUAAGGCCAGACAGAUGUAUGCCUUAACAAAAGGUUUACGCAGAUAUCAUCUUACAGAAGAGGGUGAGUGGCUGGUCAAUGAACUGGGUAUAAAUGUACAGCGGGAGGAAGAUGGAAGUGUCUCCCUGCAGGAACUGCGGAGGAUCACUAGAUUGGCUUCACAAUAUUCUCGACGGAAGAGAUGGGAUAUGGUCGGCAAGCGUCUGUGGGCUGGAGGUACUGAGUCGGACAUGUUCAAUAAGCUGGAGAGUAUAGCCCAUUCACAGAACCCGGCCACCCCUGUUCUAGGCUGCAGGAUCAGCAGAGCACUGGAGCCCAAGACAGUUAAAGAUGAGUUUAUCACCAGCAGAGUGAACUGGGUGGUUCAGAGCUCUGCAGUGGACUACCUCCAUCUGAUGUUGGUGGCCAUGAAGUGGCUCUUUGAGGAGUAUAACAUUGAUGGCCGCUUCUGCAUCAGCAUCCACGAUGAGGUGCGAUACCUGGUCCGCAGUGAAGACCGUUACCGAGCAGCUCUGGCACUUCAGAUCACAAACCUCCUUACAAGGCAUGCAGGACCUUCCCCAGUCAGUAGCCUUCUUCAGUGCAGUUGACAUUGAUCAGUGUUUGAGGAAGGAGGUCAACAUGGACUGUGUGACUCCCUCCAAUCCUACAGGUGUGGAACGAAAGUAUGGCCUACCACCUGGUGAGGCCUUGGACAUCUACCAAAUCAUCAACAUCACUAAAGGUUCUCUGAGCAAAGGAAGAUAGCUCUGUGUGGACCAGACAGCUUUUAUUCCAAACAUAUAACUGCCAGGACACUGUUCACCAGCUGUAUGGAUCAGUGUCGCCCAGUAUCACCUCACUGUUUCCUCUUCUUCUGUUUGGGUUCCUGUGUCUCUGCUGCCUCUUGUGACUCUGUGGUCUGAGAGAAAUGAAAGAACUAAGAACUUACUGAGCAAAGCCAACGGGGGCUUAGAUGCAGCUCGGAGCAUUCAAAGCAUUGUAUCUACAUGACAUGCUACAUGCACAUUUCAACAAUGAGAACAGUGUGGGUACUGAGUCAGCUAUUAUUCUAUUAUUUAAGUAUUAUAAAGUAAAAAUGAAGAGAAGACACAGUUGUUUGAACAGUAUUAAUGGUCCUGUGGAACCGAACUGGCACUAACCUCCUGACUGUCAUCCUGCUCCUGCAGAGCUGCAUCCAGAGUAGCAGCAUUGAUGCGGAAAUCUCUAGAAGUACUCAGUUUCAUGUACUGCAUCAGGUUUACCUGGAUAAACACGCAGACAGAUGUUGCACUGACAGUGUUCGGAGGGACCUGUGGGUUUUGUUUAAUGCUUGUUAUGUAUUUUAAGAAAGGAAAAAAAAAAAAAUUCCAGCCUUUACACAAACCUUUGAUUUCUUUGAGAGUGUGAUGAGAUACUUCUCAUACUGCUCAAUGCUGAAGAUUAAGUUGGGGAUGGCCUUAGUCUCACGUAAUAGUUUUGCCUUCCAAGAGGAAAAACAGAAGAGGUUUGUUUAUAUCUGUAUAUUUUAUAUCUAUAUAUU